AUUGAACGCUGUCGGCAGGCCUAACACAUGCAAGUCGAACGAGUGGCGGACGGGUGAGUAAUGUCUGUGAAACUGCCUGAUGGAUGGGGAUAACUACUGGAAACGGUAGCUAAUACCGCAUACCAUCGGAUGUGCCCGUAUGGGAUUAGCUAGUAGGUGGGGUAAUGGCUCACCUAGGCGAGGAUCCCUAGCUGGUCUGAGAGGAGUACCAGCCACACGGGAACUGAGACACGGUCCAGACUCCUACGAGAAGGAGCAGUGGGGAAUAUUGAACAAUGGGCGAAAGCCUGAUGAAGCAAUGCCGCGUGUGUGAAGAAGGCCUUCGGGUUGUAAAGCACUUUCAGCGAGGAGGCGUUACUCGCAGAAGAAGCACCGGCUAACUCCGUGCCAGCAGCCGCGGUAAUAC
rnacentral:rRNA from 1 species